GAUGAACGCUGGCGGCGUGCCUAAUACAUGCAAGUCGAGCGAACGGACGAGAAGCUUGCUUCUCUGAUGUUAGCGGCGGACGGGUGAGUAACACGUGGAUAACCUACCUAUAAGACUGGGAUAACUUCGGGAAACCGUAGCUAAUACCGGAUAAUAUUUUGAACCGCGUGGUUCAAAAGUGAAAGACGGUCUUGCUGUCACUUAUAGAUGGAUCCGCGCUGCAUUAGCUAGUUGGUAAGGUAACGGCUUACCAAGGCAACGAUGCAUAGCCGACCUGAGAGGGUGAUCGGCCACACUGGAACUGAGACACGGUCCAGACUCCUACGGGAGGCAGCAGUAGGGAAUCUUCGGCAAAGGGCGAAAGCCUGACGGAGCAACGCCGCGUGAGUGAUGAAGGUCUUCGGAUCGUAAAACUCUGUUAUUAGGGAAGAACAUAUGUGUAAGUAACUGUGCACAUCUUGACGGUACCUAAUCAGAAAGCAACGGCUAACUACGUG
rnacentral:rRNA from 1 species